rnacentral:rRNA from 1 species
UACAGAGGGGGCAAGCGUUGUUCGGAAUUACUGGGCGUAAAGGGCGCGUAGGCGGCCGCCUAAGUCAGACGUGAAAUCCCUCGGCUCAACCGGGGAACUGCGUCUGAUACUGGGUGGCUUGAAUCCGGGAGAGGGAUGCGGAAUUCCAGGUGUAGCGGUGAAAUGCGUAGAUAUCUGGAGGAACACCGGUGGCGAAGGCGGCAUCCUGGACCAAUAUUGACGCUGAGGAGCGAAAGCCAGGGGAGCAAAGCGGG